AAGCAAUCAAAGCACCCCAGUCAUGACCCACUAGGAAAACUUGAUGGAUACCCAAUUUAUCAAGGAGGCCGAUGAGGUCACCGACAAGAUGGAGUGCCGUGUACGACGUGACCGAGGGUGGGGCGUCGGUGUCGCCGUAGCCACGAAGGUCUGGGGCAAUGGCACGGUAGCCGCGGGAAGAGAGAUAGAGGAGCUGGUUGCGCCAGGAAUACCAGAGUUCAGGGAAGCCGUGAAUGAAGAGAACUGCUGGGCCUGUCCCUAUUGAUGCCACGUGCAUGUUUAUGCCGUUAGUGGCUACUGUUGUGUGCUCUAUUUUCUCCAUUGUUUGUUUGUUUUUCCUUUUGGUGCAACUCUGAAAUCUGAAGGUUUCAGGAUUAGGCUCUGUUUUAGUUGAAUGAAAGGAACGUGAAAGAGGACGGCUCCUCCCGUGUGAUGAUUGGGCUAAAUAUCAAAUGGAUAAGAAGAAUAGGACGGACAAAUGUCAUCCGACUAAAUGAGCAUGCCUAAGAGAGCUGUUUUUAAAAUUAAAAUUUAAAUGAAUGAGAGUUAAGGGCAGGUUUGGAACUGCGGUAACUCAUUAAAUAAGUUAUUUUUGUUGUGAGGAUAAAAUAAGUUGGUAAUUAAAAAAGUAAUUUAGUAUUUGAUAAAUUAUACUGUUAUGAUUGCUCUGAGUUUAAAAAGUAGUGUAUAUGCAUUUGAUAAAUUUUUUUCACGAAAAGAUUAUUUUAUUAUAUAAUGACCAAAAUAAACAUAAUUUUAAAUUACUUUUUAUUUUUUAGAGCAUGUUUAAUAAUGUUUAGACAUGCAUUUUUCUUUUUUAAAUACAUAAAAUUACAUAAAGUGAAAAAAAAAAACUCAAUUAUAUAAAAUCUAAUGAACUUCAUAAUCUGUUACAUAAAAUAUGAUAAAAAUUCAUACUAAUACAUAAUUCAAAUAAAAUAAAAAAGUAAUAUGCAUUACAUUUAUAUUAAAUUUAUUGCCAUAAAACACCUUGUAUAUAGAAAAAAUAUAUAUGAUUGAAUGUUAAAAUCAAUAGUUAUGAAAUUAAUUUUAGAAGUCAUGGUUAAAUUUCAUUUGAAAUUGUUCAUAGUUCAAAGAAAAUUUACGUAAUCAUAUGCAAGUCUUAUUAAAUCUUAUAAUAAAAAAUAAAAGUAAAAUAUCAAAAAUAUAAAUUUAUUGGAUCAAAGCUUUAUAAUGUAAGGAUAAUUCGAUUAUGUUGGUAAUGUGAUAUUUAAUGGCUUAUAUAUUAGGUGUAUAGAAAAAUAAGACAUAAUUAUCUUUCUAUUAAAAUAUUAAGAUUAUAAUAGGAAUUUAAAAAAUGAGUAGUGAUUUAUUUAAUAAGCUGCUUAUGAAAAGUAACUCCCUACCUGACUUUUAAAAAUUGCUGUCAAAAUAGAAAAAAAUUAUGAAAUAAGCAGAUUUUGUAAAGUUUACAAAAUAUUACUUUUGUCAAAAAUUAUGAAAUAAGCAACUUAUUAAAUUUCAACUUCAAUCUCAAACGAGGCAUAAGUAAUCCAAUUUUCCUAAUGUUGCUUAUCCCAGUAUUGGUGGCUUUGGGUGAGUUCUGUCUCUGCACUAGACCGGAUGAAUGGGUCCACCAACUAAUUACCAACUACUCAUUAUUAGUUUUCGUUACUAGAUAAAAACAUUGCACUGGAGAUUAUAGAACUGAUAAAAUUAAAUAUGAUCCAACUAUCUAAUAUGAAUACAAUAUAUGAGUAUGAGCCAUUAAAUUUGAUAGGAUAAUUAAAUAGGUCAAAUAUGGAUCGAUACGAUUUGUUUCAUAUUAAAUUAGAAUUAAAAUUCUUUACUCAUUUAUUCGAUUAAUAAUAGAUUAUAUUUUAUAUUCUAAAUUAAUUCUAGAUUCUUUUAACAAAACUCAAAUAUUGACCAUAAUUUUCUUUUUUCUUUUUUAUUUUUAAAAUGAACAUAUGCACAUUAUUUUAUUUAUAAAAUUUUAUAUAAAUUUAGAACUUCAAUAGUAUAAAUAUCUAAUAUUUUGAUAAUAAAUAAGUAAAGAAUUAUAUAUAUAUAUGUAAAACAAUAUGUAAAUGUUUUACGUAAAUUUUAUUAAAUACAUAGAUAUUAAGCGGAUUAUUAGAUAAUCCAAUAAUUUUCCGUGACAAAUUCUCGUCUCAAUAUUUUAACACGAUUAUUAAACAGAUCGUGUUUGGAUCGACUUAAAUUUAACGCGACACGAAACUCAGAAACUAACACGUCCUAUAAUGACCCAAACAUGAUCUAAUGACCUGUUUGGAUCGACUUGAAAGGGUAAACAUGAGUCAUAACAGAGGUUCCACUGACAAAAGCAAAAUAUGUAGACCCCCCAAGAAGUAAGAAGAACACUCUUUGCCACCCACCAAUGGGAUCAUGAUAGAAGAGAUGAAACUAGAGAUCGACCAUCAAUCACAACUCAAAGUAUCAUCGCAUUCUGAGAUUCCCAAUGCCAAUGCUCAAUCAGAACUGCUUGAUGAAAUCAUAAAUGUGUGAGCUGACUUCGUCAGCCUUUUCUUGGUUAAUAAAAUGGGCAACUCCUUCCAUUACUAUUACUUCCUGCAAACCUGGUACAUCUUUCUUGAACCCACCAUUUUGUAUAUAUUCCCUGAUACCAGGGAUGUGAUAUGUGAUAUCCAAGUCACCCACCAUAAACUUAACUGGUAUUUUAAUUUGUGCACCUGUCCAUGGAGCCAGGAGCUCCCAGUUUCUGCAACAAAUCAAAACAAACUUUAUUUUGGGUAACAAUGGAACAUACCCAGUCCUAAACAUGAAACUUACUUUGGGGCUCUGGUAACAUUGAUAUACAUAUGCAAGUUGUAAAGUCAAAUUGCCUGUUUCAUACAAAGAUUACAAAAAUACUUAAAUAGAUGUGACAAUUCUUCAUGUGCAUUGAUAUCAACUAGGGACCACGAAUGUCUAAGUUAAGUGCUUCAUAUCAGUCUCAGGCUUCAUAUGAAAGGCAAGAAUUAUGGACUUUCUAUGAAUAUUACUGCAAAAUUUCGGCAAAAAGAUCAUUUUUCAAAGGCUAAUUUGCCUGAUAUCUGAUUUAACUCUUUAAUUUAUCAUAGCUGGUACAGUGGUUGUAUGAGAACUCACAGGUCUAAACAUCGAUAAUAGUUCAAUCCUCCAGUGAAGCCUUUCUGGCUAAAUUUUGAGGCAUAAUAGUUGACAUCUUCUUCUGACAGCCAAGAAGGCAAGGUUCGAAGAUCCGGUAGACCUCUAAAUCCUAUUUCUUUAGGUACACAUGGUGGCUUCGGACUGCGACCUCCCAAUAAUUUCUUUAUCAGUCUUGCAGUAUCAAUCUGAGCGAAAUCUUCUUCAGCCACUCCAGGUUCCUACAGCAUAUCUCAGCAAUGUUUUGAGAGAGUCAAUUCAAGAGAUUUGAGAACAACACAACAAAAAUAAGCAUUUAGAAUAAGGAAUCACAUAAUGAACUUGAUAGAGCAUUAUGGGAUUGGAACCCAGAAAUCGUGUCAAACAAUGACAGACUCAAGACUGUGUUAGUGACAAUAACAUUCCGACAAUAUGCUGAAUAAUGAAAGACAAUAAACCAGAGAAUAUUAUAAUAUUCUUAUUUCCUUUUUACUGUAGAUUAUAUUUAGCAAUAAAGAAAACCUUAUUUUAUUAACAAAAUUCAACGAGAUAUACAAAUUUUCUAGUACUUGAAUACCACAAUGAAAUCAUGUUAAGAAUUAUUAAUGGAAAUAUAAAAAUGCCAACAACUGGAACUUUACUAUAUGGCAAAUUUGAUACUGAUGUAUUUUGAUAAGAAGACUAAAAGAUAAAAUUUAAGCCCAACCAUUGUAUAAAUCCAACCAAAGCCAAAAUGAAGCUACAACAAAGAGCCACAGACUGUCAGUCAAAAUAAACAAUACAUCAAGAGUUAUGUCAUUUGAGAGCCCUGCUCUGAUCUAAAAAUGGCUAAGAGAUCUAAUUAAAUUUCCGAGCAAAGAUGUAGCCAAAUGCAAUAGCUAUAAACUUGUUUAAGCUUGUGAUAUCAGAUUCUGGGGCAGUAAUUUUGUUACAUCAAAGUCCUACUUUACCGAAUAAAUAAAUGCAACAAUAAAAUUAAUUAAACAUAUGCAUAUAAAUGCUAUUGAUUGACAUUUGACCCAAGAAAAUACAGUUGGAUACAUACAAAUGUUCCCAGCCUAAGGAAGAAUAUUGGCAACAUAACAGCCGGCCAUUGCCAUUUUCCCAACACAACACAAUUGUCCUAAUUCAGAAAUAUAUUAAAUGCAUAACAUCCGAGUACCCAAUUCAGAUCCAUUUGUUCAUUUAACACUCCUACUUAAAAAGCAAAACAAGUUUCUUAAUUUGACAGGAAACGAAAACAGAAAGGUUCUCAAAUCAACGGGGCGAUUAUUGUUUUUUUUUUUUUAAAUUUAAUUACAGUACUAAAUUAAAACAAAACAAAACAAAAGAAAAGAGGUAAAAAAAAAAAAAAAAACACCUGAAACCUGCAAAUAUAGAAGUCAUCACCAAACAAAGCCCUGUAUUGAUCGACAGGUUUCGUCGCAGGGUUACUGGGACGAAACACAACGCUUAAGUUGACCAAAGCUUUGACUCGGUCAGGACGAAGCAAACAAAAAUACCAAGCAAUCGAAGCACCCCAGUCAUGGCCCACCAAAAAGACCUGCUCGAUACCGAAUUCAUCGAGGAGACCGAUAAGGUCACCGACGACGUGGAGUGCCGUGUAGGACGUGAUGGAGGGCGGGGCGUCGGUGUCGCCGUAGCCACGAAGGUCGGGGGCAAUAGCGCGGUAGCCGCGGGAAGAGAGGUAGAGGAGCUGCUUGCGCCAGGAGUACCAGAGUUCAGGGAAGCCGUGAAGGAAAAGGACGGCUGGGCCGGUCCCUAUCGAUGCCACGUGCAUGUUUAUGCCGUUCGUGGCC
rnacentral:lncRNA from 1 species